GGCAUAGCAAUGGCACUGCAAUGGGGGAGCCUGUUGCUGGGCUGGGCCAUCUCGCCACUGUCACCUGCCUGUUGAGGGGUGACGGUGGUUGUUGAGAGGCUGGAUCAGACCCCAGAGGUGACAUGGAUGUGGCAUAUUUGUUGGACUUACACAGCCUUGCAUUUUAUUUUCAUCUCUGUUCCUUCCUCCCAUGAGAUCUUGGGUGGUGUUUAUCAACCCUGAGUAAUCGUUUCUUUGUCUGCAAGAUGGAAUAAAAAGGCCUACCUCAUUGGGCUCGUGUGGGUGAGGAGAACUGAAGAGUCUGAGAGCGCGGCACGAGCCAGAGGCUACGGAAAACACUGCCCUCCUACACUCCACCUUGGAGAGACCCAGAAAAGAACAAGCUUCAUUUGUAAAAAAGGAAAACAACUCAGGCAAUGGGGGUGGCUUAAAUGUGCAGAUGCCUUCCACUUCUUCCAUCUGCCCUGUCUCUCCAAGAACCCCUAUGGCCCCGGUCUCAGAACAGAGCUGAGUGCAGAAAUGAAAAUCUAUGGCUCUGUGUUCCAAAACGAUGAAGAAUUUCAAGAUGGUGGCAGUGGUAAAAUCUUUCUCCAGGAAAAAUCUGUCCUUGGCCCAAUGUGUAAACACUUGCUGAGGAACUUGGAAUAACUUGCAGUGUCUUGCAGUAUUGUGAAACCAGCAACUUGUUCACAAUUCUUCUGAAUUUCUUGGGAAAUUUGAAGUGGAGUACCUGUACCAACAUGAAAUGACACGAAUUUAAGUGACGCUCAACAACGAAAAGCAAAAAGAACCAAAGAGGAAGCAACUGAAACAACAUCUGGAUGUAUUUAAAAAUAUACAAUGCCUCCAAAAUCAGGUGUCAUUAAUGAAAAUUCUGAAGAAAUGCCACCGGACAUAGCCAACGCACCUACGCUGUUGUUAUUCAUUUCCUGCUUUUCACAGAAAACAAUUUUGUUGCAUGGAAGAUCGUGAACUUCAAAGGGCAGAGGGGAAACUGUCCCUUGGCCUCUACCCCUCCAAGGCCCCACUUUUUUGUCAACACUCCUUGGACGCAGCAGAAGUAUGAACAUAAUAUGGUCCUGAAUGAGGCUGAGUCUUUGGGCGCAGAAGACCCGGGUUAAUAAAAAUAGGAAGGUAAGAAAAGAAAAGAAAAAUCAAGACACAUCAUAGGACUAAAUUCCUAUUAUUUAUCCACUCAGGAUUGACCACCCCUUUGGGCCAGAUAGUUGUACCCCCAUGUACCAGGUGGGCACAUGAAGACACAAGAAGUGCUGUGAUGGUUCAUUUUGCACGUCACCUUGCGUGGAGUAUGCCAACUCAUUGUUUGGUCAAACACUAGUCUGGACAUGGUGGUAAAGGUAUUUUUUAGAUGAGAUUAACACUUAAAUCAGUAAAGCAGGUUACCCACCAUACUACGGGUGGGCCCUGUCCAAUCAGUUGAAGGCAUUAAGAACAAAGAUUGAGGUUUCCUAAAGAAGAUGGAAUUCUCCUUGAGACUACAACAUAGAAACCCUAUCUGAGUUUCCAGCCUGUUGCCCUGUGGAAUUCAAACUCAGGACUCCGGUCUAUGACAUUAACCCUCACUUAACUUUUCAGCCUGCCAGCCUGCCCUAUGGAUUUCGGACUUGCCAGCCACACAAUUCCUUAAAAUAAAUCUCUCCGUC
ensembl:lncRNA DRAIC downregulated RNA in cancer, inhibitor of cell invasion and migration